rnacentral:rRNA from 1 species
UACGUAGGGCGCAAGCGUUGUCCGGAUUUAUUGGGCGUAAAGAGCGUGUAGGCGGCUCGGUAAGUCCGCUGUAAAAGUCAAAGGCUCAACCUUUGAAUGUCAGUGGAUACUGCCGGGCUAGAGUCCGGAAGAGGCGAGUGGAACUCCUGGUGUAGCGGUGGAAUGCGCAGAUAUCAGGAAGAACACCAACGGCGAAGGCAGCACUCUGGGACGUGACUGACGCUGAGACGCGAAAGCGUGGGGAGCAAACAGG